rnacentral:rRNA from 1 species
AUGGGAGGGUUUGUCAAGACCCAGAAGACCAAUGCCUACUACAAGCGUUUCCAAGUCAAGUUCAAGAGACGGAGGCAGGGCAAGACUGACUACAGGGCCAGGAUUAGGCUCACCAACCAAGAUAAGAACAAGUACAACACACCGAAGUACCGCUUCGUUGUGAGAUUUACAAACAAAGAUAUCACAGCUCAAAUUGUCUAUGCUACCAUUGCUGGUGAUAUCGUGAUGGCUGCUGCCUACUCCCAUGAGCUGCCUCGCUAUGGUCUUGAAGUUGGUCUCACCAACUAUGCGGCAGCUUAUUGCACUGGCUUGCUUUUGGCUCGCCGUGUGCUCAAGCUCCGUGGUUUGGACCAGGAGUACGAGGGCAAUAUUGAGGCCACUGGGGAGGACUACUAUGUUGAACCAGCUGAUGAAAGGCGGCCUUUCCGUGCUCUCUUGGAUGUUGGCCUCAUUAGGACAACCACUGGAAACCGUGUCUUUGGUGCCCUCAAGGGAGCUUUGGAUGGUGGUCUUGACAUUCCUCACAGUGACAAGAGGUUUGCUGGGUUCAAGAAGGACGAGAAGCAGCUUGAUUCUGAUAUUCACCGCAAGUACAUCUACGGUGGGCACGUGGCUGACUACAUGAGGUCUAUGGCGGAGGAGGAACCUGAGAAAUUCCAAGCCCACUUCAGUGAGUACCUCAAGAAGGGAAUUGAUGCUGAUGGCAUGGAAGCACUGUACAAGAAGGUCCAUGCUGCCAUCCGUGCUGAUCCCUACCAUGGCCAAAUCAACCAAGAAGGAACCGGCGACCCACAAGAGAUACAACCUCAAGAAGCUAACCUACGAACAGAGGAAGGCCAGUCUUGUCGAAAGAUUGAAUGCUCUCAACUCCUCUGCUGGUGC